GACAGACAUCCCAUUUUAUUUCUUACCUUUAUGUUUGACAGGUUUGGGUUUGGGUUUUGGUUCUGGCUUAGGCUCCGGACAGCAUUCACCCUUCUUCAUGUAUCUGUAGUUCUUUACGCUAGAACUGUUGAAUUCGACCCUUGCAUCUGCGCCAAAGGUUAGACUACCCUUACCCACCUUAACACCAACGUUUGCUUCCUUAUUUUUCUUCUGCUCUCUAACGAUCUUUUCCUUUUUCUCUCCGCUACUCAUUUUUUAUUUAACCGGAAAAUAAAA